UACGUAGGGUCCAAGCGUUGUCCGGAUUUAUUGGGCGUAAAGAGCUCGUAGGCGGCUUAGUAAGUCGGAUGUGAAAACUCGGGGCUCAACCCCGAGACGCCAUCCGAUACUGCUGUGGCUUGAGUCUGGUAGGGGAACACGGAAUUCCUGGUGUAGCGGUGAAAUGCGCAGAUAUCAGGAGGAACACCGGUGGCGAAGGCGGGUCUCUGGGCCGAUACUGACGCUGAGGAGCGAAAGCGUGGGGAGCAAACAGG
rnacentral:rRNA from 1 species